AUUAUGGUAUACCAUUGACUGUCCGUCGUCAGCAUGUCGGACAUAUACUCAAAAAUAAUAAAUACUAAUAGGUACAUGUAGUAGUCAAUAUUGUGUAAUCAAUAGGUCAUCUUCAUGUAUAUUUGGUGUAUAAAAUGAUUAUUAAAUGUCUUAUCACAAAUUAAAAUAUCAAAUGAGAGGAUGUGAUAUGAUUGUAAAUGAGACACAACAGACCAAAUAACACAGAAAUAACUAUACCUGUAGGUCACCAUAUGGACUUCAACAAUGAGUAAAACAUAUUCUGCAUAGUUGGUUUUAAAGGUCUCGAAAUGAUAAAUGAACAAUUUAAAACAUUUAAAAUGAGAAAACUAAUGGGUGAUUUAUGUACAAAAUAAUAAAUGAAUAACAAAUAUGUCUGUCUUGCAGGGUUUAUCUGAACUUAACCUCAUUUUCAUGGACUUGUCUGUUUCUUGAAUUCUAAAUAUGUUUCAAAAUAUUUGGUUGAUGGGAUGAUUGUUACAGAGUCCGACAUAGGGUGGGGGCUCAUUGGUGGAUUAUAUUGCAAAUAACUGAAGCCAACCCCGCUUUGGCAGUCAGUCCCCACAUUGCCACUAGAGAAAUAAAAUAACUAAGAAAAAAAAAUGGUAUAUUAAUAAGAAAAAAAAAUUAAAUCACGAUAAUUUCCUGUCGAUAUGCACAUCUACAUAGUAUGUCCUUAUUAUCUACAAAGUUUCAUGAAAUUCUGUUGAAUGUGUGGUUUCAGAGGAGUUUCGAUGACAAGCUGUUUGCAGUAGUAUACUGCAGCAAAUAAGUUCAAAGGGGCAUAACUCCUAGAAAAAUAAUUCGUAAUUUCCUGUCGAUAUGCACAUCUACAUGGUAUGUCCUUAUUAUCUAAAAAGGUUUUAUGAAAUUCUGUUGUGCGGUUUGAGAGGAGAUGCAAUGACAAACUGUUGCAGUAGUAUAUUGAAGCAAAUAGGUUCAAAGGGGCCUUACUCCUAGAAAAAAAAUAUGUAUAUCUAAAUAGUAUGUCCUUAUCUAAAAAGGUUUCAUAAAAUUCUAUUGUGCGGUUUGAGAGGAGAUGCGAUGACAAACUUGCAG
rnacentral:lncRNA from 1 species